ACACAUGGAUGAAUAUAAAUCUUUGUAAUUUUGGUGGCAGUGUAGCUGUCACAGGAAAAUGUGUUUCUUUUGUACAGAGUUUUUUGUUACUGCAGAGAAAAUGUCUUGUUUUAAAUGUCUGCAAGUUCUUUGUCAUGUUACUACCACCUGCUGGUCACAUUACAUAUUGCUCUAAAUAGUCAGCAUGCAGCGUCACAUGAUCAGAUACAGGAAAUGUGCUGCCAGGAAAACAGACGCAGAAAACGCACACUGGACGGUGAAAACAAUAAAAUAGACGCUAAGGGACUGUAACAACUCCUAAAUUACUGGUCAGAAGGCGCAUACGUUUUUCACGGUGUUUGCUGUGCGAAGAAGAAAAUAAAUGCUGGUCAACAUCAGUUGGAGCGUGGCUUAUCUGUACCAGUAGAAAACUUUGGGAGCAGUUAUAGU